rnacentral:tRNA from 1 species
GCAAUUGGAUAGCUCAGUUGGUUAGAGCAUGGUGCUGAUAACACCAAGGUUGCAGGUUUGAUCCUCGUAUGGGACAGCUGCA